rnacentral:rRNA from 1 species
CCUACGGGCGGCAGCAGUGAGGAAUAUUGGUCAAUGGACGAGAGUCUGAACCAGCCAAGUAGCGUGAAGGAUGACUGCCCUAUGGGUUGUAAACUUCUUUUAUAUGGGAAUAAAAUGUUCCACGUGUGGGAUUUUGUAUGUACCAUAUGAAUAAGGAUCGGCUAACUCCGUGCCAGCAGCCGCGGUAAUACGGAGGAUCCGAGCGUUAUCCGGAUUUAUUGGGUUUAAAGGGAUCGUAGGUGGAUUGUUAAGUCAGUUGUGAAAGUUUGCGGCUCAACCGUAAAAUUGCAGUUGAAACUGGCAGUCGUGAGUACAGUAGAGGUGGGCGGAAUUCGUGGUGUAGCGGUGAAAUGCUUAGAUAUCACGAAGAACUCCGAUUGCGAAGGCAGCUCACUGGACUGCAACUGACACUGAGGCUCGAAAGUGUGGGUAUCAAACAGGAUUAGAGACCCGAGUAGUC